UACGUAGGUGACAAGCGUUGUCCGGAUUUACUGGGCGUAAAGGGCGCGUAGGCGGCCUACUAAGUCAGACGUGAAAUCCCCCGGCUUAACCUGGGAACUGCGUCUGAUACUGGAAGGCUUGAGUAUGGGAGAGGGAUGUAGAAUUCCAGGUGUAGCGGUGAAAUGCGUAGAUAUCUGGAGGAAUACCGGUGGCGAAGGCGGCAUCCUGGGACCAUUACUGGACGCUGAGGCGCGAAAGCUAGGGGAGCAAACGGGG
rnacentral:rRNA from 1 species